rnacentral:lncRNA from 1 species
UGAAUCCUAGUAGGAUUACAGGGGAAUCCUAGUAGGAGUCCGUCUUCUUCCUUCCUUGCAGUUACUGGGGAUCUAUCCCGACAAGCCCCCGAGCACUCUAUAAUCAAAUGCAGCAGUCUUCAAAUAAUUUUCAGUUCCUCGCCGAGUAGUUUUUAUGCUCCUCAAGUACUUUGUCUGGCUGAAUCUUCAAAGUUCCUUAAAGCUUCC